CGCACGCUUCCUUUUUCAAUCCUAAUUCGGCUUCUGGAGAACUGAAGCAUUCAUCAAAGUUCAAUCUUACUCUCGUGACCUCAUCUCUCUCACUAGGGCUUUUCCUCGCCUUCUCUCUUCGCUCGUCCGAUCAAACGAUCGUCCUUUGAUCCUUUCCCUUCAUCUGCUACCCUAGUCUCAGAAGCGAAGACAGCGACGCCUUCUGUUCUAGAGAGCUGAAGUCUUCUCGAUCUCUCUUUUCAUACUUCAGCGGAUCAUUGAUCAUUGCCGCUGUCGCCGAGCAAUGGAAAGUGUGAUCAGCAGGAUCGCACCUAACCUCUGUUUUAAAAAUAUCGUCUGAAUUUACCAUUCCGAUGUCUCCGGACCUCUCGAUUUGUUAGGGUUUCUGCACUUUGUCGUCUCCACUCAAAUCUAGGGUUUAUUUAAUAUGUCUCUCUCACUCUGGAAUCUCCUCUCCUCGCUCUCUAUUCUCUCUUUUAACCGACUCAUCCUCCUUUCCUCUCCUCUGCACCUCUAACCUCAGAAGUGCAAGACGGCUUUCAGUUCUGGAGAACUUAGGCUACCUUUGAACUCUCUUUUACAUACUUCAGCGGACCAUCGCGGCUGCCGCCGAGCAAUGGAAACUGUUUUCCGCCGUCUCCAACUUCUGCGUCGAAAAUCUCGUUUCGGAUGUAUCCAGGGACCGCCGAUUUCACUCCCGAGCCAGAGCCUUGCAUAACGGAGCUAUUACGUGUAUCUAAGGCUCUCACCGCUUGAAGCCUGCCAAGGGCUUCGUUUCGUCCACCGUGACAUUGAAAGGAAGUUUGUCGAUGAGGCUAACAAAGUGUCGAUGAAAAUGAAUAUCUGCAUGUUAAGUGACUAGUUGUCUUAGCUUCUUGUGUAGUCUUGACUCUCAAUGAGUGCUGUUAUUGGUCUGACAAGAAACACUUUUUCUUAUUAAUUAUGAUUUAUAUUACAUGCAUUCCAAUGUUUCUACAUGGCUGAUGGCACAAGAUAUUUUGUUGUCCUGUCAAUUGGCAGAAAACGAUUGACGAGUUGAUGGGCUGUGAUUUCAUUAUCAGGAUCAAAAUGUAAAUGUAAAGUAGAAUUAGAUUGAACUAAGGCUGAACAAACUUUUUUGAAGAAAGAAGAAUUUUACUGUCCUGACACUUGAUUAUAUUUUUUCAGUGGGCAGUCAUUGCAUAGCUAGGGCAGUCCUACAGUUCACUAUCCUUGAAUCCUUGCACUUUUUCUUUAAGAAAAUGCAAAGCCAAAUGAAUAUAUAGAAUUGAACAUCCUCCUUGAAACUUACUGAAUUGCCUUUGAUUGAGAUGGCACAAAGUAACGAAUUGCAUAUACUAAAUGGAUCAUUUAUCCCAUGCGCUGAUUUGUGUUGGUUGUACUUAGCCGAGUUUGUAGCUGAAAGCAAGUUAUGAACAACGUUUUAAACAAGAUUGAAUUCCAAUUUAAUUUUUCCCUAAGCCUUUAAUGGUUGUUUUCUGUUUUCAGAUGAGUUACUCUUAUUAGGAGUUUUGAUUUAUGUGAUUAUAUGCAAGCUAAUAACUUAUGUUUCUCCUAUUUUUUGUUUGAUUGAUGAUUCCCCAAAAAAUACCCUAAGAGAAGAACUUGUGUCAGUUCAAGUUUUUCUAUUUUUCAAUUUCUGAAGCCCACAUUUUUAUUUUAUUUUAUGUUUAUCUGUAAGAACUCAUGGAUUCUCAUUAACUAUUUCCCGAGAUCACUUUGGCAUGUUUUAUUGGCUUUUGCUGAUACGCAGUAUUAUUUACAAUGUGGGGGGGAAAAAGUGGUGCAAGAAUGCAAGAUAUUGAUUCUCUUUUAACAAAGCCCCUCAGUUUUGCAGUAACAUUUGCUCCUUCUCUGCACAUACACUUCAAAAACGGUAAAAUUAAUCUCUGGACCGGUAUUUCUUUUAUUAAUUGACUAUGUUUGACCUUUAGGAUGAUAGCACAAUUGCUUUCUUAUUUUCUGACCAUUGCUAUCUUUCAGAAAAUAAGCGUCCUUUUUUUACUUUUUAUUGAUAUUAGAGAAACUUGAUGAGUAAAUCAGUUUAAUGUGGCCCUAUUUUGGCUGCACUGGGAGUAAGUAUAUGAUCUUGUUAAUUCUAAUUCAGUUAUUCAAUAUCUAUCUAACACGCAUAAUCAUUAUACGUUGUUGCAUUUGUAACUAGCUUAUAUUCUGAUGUAUAUACUUUGAUGCAUUGGAAUUUGGACAGUUCAUAAGUAGCUUUUCAAUAUAUCUUGUUCUUGUCGCAUAUUAAAGUGAGGUGCGUUAAUUCUAAUUCAGUUAUUCAAUAUCUAUCUCACACGUAAUCAGUAGACGCUGUUCCAUUUGUGAGUAGCUUAUAUUCUGUUGUAUAUACUUUGUAUUAUUACAUUCAUAUUACUUCUUUUUUUGGAAUGAAUGCAAACUUUUCUUUGUCCAGCUUACUCUAGCUUGUUUGGUCCUCUUAACUUAGGAAUAUUUUUGUCUAUGAUUUCUUAAUCAAUUGGUUUUCGUUAAUUUUACUAUUUUAAUGUUUCUUUCUAGUUACCUAGCUAGUUGUUUUAUAGUUCGUUCUGUUCUUAUUAAUUUAGUAUUUAAAUUAGACUUAGAUUGAACUAAGGUUGAAAGAGUUUUAUUGAAGAAUUUUACUGUCCACUAUCACUUAACUACACUUUCUCAGUGGGCAGUCAUUGCAUAACUAUGAGCAUAUUACAGUUCAAUAUCAUUGAAUCCUUGCACUUUUUAUUUAAGAAAAUGCAAAACCAAAUGAUUAUGUGGAAUUGAACAUCCUCCUUGAAACUUAAUUUCAUUAGAUUGAGAUGGCACAAAGUAAUUGCAUAUACUAAAUGGAUCUUUAUCCCAUGUUUUGAUUUGUGUUCGUUAUAAUUAGCCGAGUUUGUAGCUGAAAGCAAGUUGUGAACAACGUUUUAAACAAUAUUGAAUUUCAAAUUUAAUUUCUCCCUAGGCCUUUAGUGGUUGUUUUCUGUUUUCAGAUGAAUUACUCUUAGGUGUUUUUAUUUAUGUGAUCAUUAUGCAACCUAAUAACUUAUGUUUUCUCCUAUUUUUUGUUUGAUUGAUGAUUCUCCAAAAAAAUACCCUGAAAGAAGUUGUGAUAAUUCAAGUUUUUCUAUUUUCCAGUUUUUGGAGCCCGUGAUUUUUUAAUUUAUGUUUAUCUGUACAAACUUACGGAUUCUCAUUAGCUCUUUCCUGAAAUCACCUUGGCAUUUUUUAUUGCUGACAUGACAUAUUAUUGUAGAAUGCGGGGGAAGAAUGCUAGAUAUUGAUAUUCUUAAUUUCUUUCUAA